UACAGAGGGUGCAAGCGUUUAAUCGGGAAUUACUGGGCGUAAAGCGUGCGUAGACGGUCAUGUAAGUCGGGGUGUGAAAGCCCCGGGCUCAACCUGGGGAAUUGCAUUCGAGACUGCAUGGCUAGGAUGCGGAAGAGGGAAGCGGAAUUUCCGGUGUAGCGGUGAAAUGCGUAGAUAUCGGAAGGAACACCAGUGGCGAAAGCGGCUUCCUGGUCCAGCAUCGACGGUUCAGGCACGAAAGCGUGGGGAGCAAACAGG
rnacentral:rRNA from 1 species